rnacentral:lncRNA from 1 species
UGAGCCAUGAUCGUACCACUGCACUCCAGCCUGGGCAACACAGCGAGACCCUGACUCCACAAAUAAAUAAAUCAACAUCAUAUGAUCUGUACCAGGGUAUAGGCAGGUGCUAUGAUCCCCACUUUUCAUCCUCAACUCUAAGUUGAGUCAUACAUCAACCUCUAGUAAAAAGUGGCAUGCUCUCAGUCAAAGGGGUAAGCCCAAACCACGCGGAGAGAAUCUUAUCUCUUUUGAGAGCUAAUAUAAAAAGAAUUCCUCCUAGGCAUAAAAAUAUUGUGACACCAGUUACUUAGGCUAAACAUGCCUAUUAUGCUAAGUGAGUUAUUAACAAUAAAUACUUUAACUCUGUGCCAUGUUAAUUAUCAUAAUCUGAUUUAUAAUUUGUUUUAACCUUAGGUUAUAUAUACCUUGAAGCCAUUUAUAUUUUGGUAUACUUGUAAUAAUUACUAUACACCGGACUAUGUAUAUUGGACUAAACACGGAGAGUCAAAAAAGAGUAUGUGGUCAGAGUAGAAAUCAUGCCCUAGCUUCCUUCGUGUCUACCUCCUACCUUGAGUAGAAGUGGUAGAAAAAGUAAUUACCUAAGAUUUUUUGGAUUCUGGUUUGUGGAGAAGCACCCUUAUAUUUAGGCUGAUGGGCGGCAAAAUUAGAAAGUAUUUUUUGUGAUUUAGAAUUUUAUACGGAGAUGUUCAUUGUGAUUAAUUAUUCUUUGUAUUAGCAGAUUUUUGCUUUUUAUAGCUGCAUGAUUUCUUGUUUAUUAUUCAUUCAUUAUUGUCUAUUAAUAAAGAAAAACUUUAUUUCACUGAAGCAGUGAUAUAUAAUCCAACUUGGAUUUUUAAAUAAUGACUGACUUUUUUUCUUUGGGAAUACAUUACUGUUAAAAAUGUAAUUAUUAGAUACAUUACUUUUAAUGAAUAUAAGUGGUAUAAUUAGAAGGCUGAAAAGAAUCCUUGGAAAUGUGAGUUUAAUUUGAUAGCUAAGAAACUGAGGACAAGUUACUUAUUCUUUGUAGCAUAUUUUCUAAUGUCAUUUCAUUGUCUCACCAAGAAAUACUUGCAUAAAGCAAGUUCAAUUACAGCAUCUGUUGAAUAUUUAAGGUUGAGUAAAGUGGGUGAGUUUAACAGAUAUUUUCCCUUAUUUCUUUUAGGCGAAUCUGGAUUGGGAAAGUUGAUAUUAAUCAACUCAUUAUUCCUCACAGAUUUGUAUUCUCCAGAGUAUCCAGGUCCUUCUCAGAGAAUUAAAAAGCCUGUACAGGUCUACAUAUUGGUAUUUUUAAUUGAUGAUAAGCUGGAAUAAUAUUAAUACACACAAAGCACGUGUUGUAACUUUCAUUAUGCUUCCCUAGAGGUGGAACAAUCCAAAGUUUUAAUCAGAGAAGGUGGUGUUCAGUUGCUGCUUACAAUAGUUGAUACCCCAGUAUUUGGAGAUGCAGUGGAUAACAGUAAUUGGUAAAAAGGAUUUGUCCUCACAACUUUCCAGUGUAUUUGGGGUACUGGGGUGGUUAAACUUUCUCUUCUUAACAUUUUAAAACUCUUCUUAGCAAAGGUCACCAAACUUCAAGUAACAUGACAGGUUUGUAUACCAACUUUGCCACUUAUUUGACAAAGUUUAACUUCAAAGUUAAACAAAGAAGUUUAACUUCUUUGAACCCAUUUACUUUUUGAUAAAAUGGAGAUAAUACCUAUCAUAAAAUUGUUUUGAAGACAUAUUCCAAAAUAACGUAGCUAGAUAGAAGAAUUCUCAUUAUUGGAAGAAAUUUAAAAUGCUUUGCUUUAAUUUUAUCCAUUUGUAUAAAUUCUAUCACAAUCCUAAUUUAAACCUGAUAUUUAGACCUUCAGUUUUUCCAUAAGUCCUAAGUGAAGAAAACAACUAUGAAAUUUUAGUCUGAAGUAAUUAUCUUAGUAUUUUAUAAAUAACUUUAAUUUUGUUUGAAUUCACAUUGUUUUUGAGGUAUUUUUCUGUCAACUCUUAAAACUCCUAAGUUCAUCAUGAAGUUUUUAUAUUAUUUAAGUAAUCUCUCAUUUGAAAUUUGAAACUGAAUAUAAUCGUUUUCAUAUUAUGAAGUGUGUUAUUAAUACACUUACUAGUGCCAAUAGUAUGCUAAUAAUUUAGCUGUGUUUCAACAAUAAAUAUUUUCUUUCAUUUGGAAAGUUUUGAAAUAAUGAAUAAAGAUUUAUUCAACACAAUUUAUAUUUUUGAAUCUUUAUAUAGAAUAACUUGACAUAUCUUCCAUUGGUUAAUUCAUUUUGCCUAUUUGAAAAUAUUGAUUAUUGUCCUUUAACAGUCAUCAGUUAAUUCAUAUGUAGAAUUGCAACUUAAUUGUUUUGUUUAUUUGCAUUCUAUAGCUGGCAGCCUGCUAUCAAUUACAUUGAUAGUAAAUUUGAGGACUACCUAAAUGCAGAAUCGCAAGUGAACAGAUGUCAGAUGCCUGGUAACAGGGUGCAGUGUUGUUUAUACUUCAUUGCUCCUUCAGGACAUGGACCAUUACAUAACUGAAGACUCCCACCUUCAGGCAGGUUUGGGUAGUACACGUUUGUAACUACCUGGCAUUGCCUUUUGUUGAAGUAAUUUCAGUUUUUAUUAGUAGUAGUAGUAGUAUACUUUAAGUUCUACAGUAUAUGUUCACAAUGUGCAGGUU